rnacentral:rRNA from 1 species
AUUGAACGCUGGCGGCAGGCUUAACACAUGCAAGUCGAGCGGAGAUGAGGUGCUUGCACCUUAUCUUAGCGGCGGACGGGUGAGUAAUGCUUAGGAAUCUGCCUAUUAGUGGGGGGACAACAUUCCGAAAGGAAUGCUAAUACCGCAUACGUCCUACGGGAGAAAGCAGGGGAUCUUCGGACCUUGCGCUAAUAGAUGAGCCUAAGUCGGAUUAGCUAGUUGGUGGGGUAAAGGCCUACCAAGGCGACGAUCUGUAGCGGGUCUGAGAGGAUGAUCCGCCACACUGGGACUGAGACACGGCCCAGACUCCUACGGGAGGCAGCAGUGGGGAAUAUUGGACAAUGGGGGGAACCCUGAUCCAGCCAAGCCGCGUGUGUGAAGAAGGCCUUAUGGUUGUAAAGCACUUUAAGCGAGGAGGAGGCUACUGAGACUAAUACUCUUGGAUAGUGGACGUUACUCGCAGAAUAAGCACCGGCUAACUCUGUG